GGGCUAUAUCGCAUGGAAGCUCCGUAUGAUCAUCGAAGUUAAGCAACGUCGAGGUUGAUCAGUACCUAGAUGGGUGACCACUUGGGAAUACCAGGUACUAU